rnacentral:lncRNA from 1 species
GAGAAAGGGGGCAGACGUGUCUUCCUGGCUGAAUUGGCCCAUUGUUACUGGACUCGUCGAGUACGCAGUAAAGAAUUCAUGCUUACUAAUGUUGAACCUGAACUCUGCACUUUAAGGCAGUUACCCUUAACAUGUUCUAGGAGGAUUUCAGUACUACGUAAUCCCUUAGCAAUUCUUCACAUUUACUAAUAUGUAGUGUUGUUUUCUAUGUACAUGUAUGUUGUGACUAUUUGUCGAUAUCUACUUACACAGUGCUCAUUUUGAAUUAUUAACCUGUAGCCUGUUGAGUUUCAAGGGCACCGAGUGAAAGGAUCAGCGAGCAGCGCCGUGAUGAUCAGAGGACAGAUUCCAGGGGGGGCCGCAUGUGAGAACUGCACGCCUGACAUUUGUUUUUUGGCACCAGAGCGGCCUAGCACUUGUAUGCAGGCUGACUUCUUGCAGUUGGCUGAAUGGAGGGUUGCUGAACCAGGGAUGUGGAGGCCACUGUGUGCUCAUUGGAAACAAUCGUGUGUAACUGGACCCAUGAGGCUCAAACGUGAUGUUCCCGGGUCAACACAUGGACCUGUAGGAGCUCUUUCUAUGUUAGGAAAACCAACCUGUCAGCAUUUUUCCUCACUGGUUACUAUUGUGACUCGGCUUAUGAUUUUUCCCG